rnacentral:snoRNA from 1 species
AUCAAAAUGAUGAAUUGCGUAGGGGUCUGAAACCAGAGAGUCCCUGUGCUCUGGGGGCUAACAGUGACUAUGGACUUGCUGAUCGCAAUGUACUGUAGCUCUGUCUGUCUGAAAAUACGCUAACUGAUUUU